rnacentral:rRNA from 1 species
GUGGGGAAUAUUGGACAAUGGGCGAAAGCCUGAUCCAGCCAUGCCGCGUGUGUGAAGAAGGUCUUCGGAUUGUAAAGCACUUUAAGUUGGGAGGAAGGGUAGUAACCUAAUACGUUGCUACUUUGACGUUACCGACAGAAUAAGCACCGGCUAACUUCGUGCCAGCAGCCGCGGUAAUACGAAGGGUGCAAGCGUUAAUCGGAAUUACUGGGCGUAAAGCGCGCGUAGGUGGUUUUGUAAGUUGGAGGUGAAAUCCCCGGGCUCAACCUGGGAACUGCCUCCAAAACUGCAUGACUAGAGUACGGUAGAGGGUAGUGGAAUUUCCUGUGUAGCGGUGAAAUGCGUAGAUAUAGGAAGGAACACCAGUGGCGAAGGCGACUACCUGGACUGAUACUGACACUGAGGUGCGAAAGCGUGGGGAGCAAACAGGAUUAGAAACCCUAGUAGUCC